rnacentral:rRNA from 1 species
AUGAUUUUCUCUGUGAAAUCCUUGUACUUACAUUUAGUCAAGAAUAAUUGUGGCUUCUCACAGAAAGUCAAAGUGCCAGUUAAAAUCAAAGUUUUCUUGUGGCUUUUGAGUAGGUAAAGUAUACUGACUAGAGAUAAUCUAUUAAAAAGGGGAUGGAAAGGUGACAAGAAUUGUGUUUUUUGUGGACAGGACGAAAAUAUUGAUCACCUAUUUUCUCCUGCUCUGUAG